CAGAAAGGGAAUGCACAGGGGAGCUAGGUGGGCGGUAGAUUCCUGCAACAAUGAUUGAUUUACUGCACGGGAUCUCAAUUGUGCCAGAAAGGAAAUCACACAGAAAUCCACAGUAUUGUGGAUGUUCACAAUUUGGGAUUGUAUUUGCAAAUUAAUGCAGAAUCCACAAAUAAGUUUGUCUGCUUAAAAAAUAACAUUAAAAGUCCUGACAUUUCUAAAAAACAAAAACAAAAAAAUGAACAAAAAAAUUAUUGACACUGACAUUCUGAAAUUUUCAUUUGACCAUGAGUAGGCAGAAG